rnacentral:rRNA from 1 species
AUCAUGGAGAGUUUGAUCCUGGCUCAGAACGAACGCUGGCGGCGCGUCUUAAGCAUGCAAGUCGAGCGGCAGGGUGCAGCAAUGUACCCGAGAGCGGCGGACUGGUGAGUAACGCGUGGGUGACCUGCCCUAAGGAUGGGGAUAGCCGCUAGAAAUAGCGGGUAAUACCGAAUGUGGUUACCGGGCCGAGGCGCGGUAAAGAAAGGCGCUUUGGCGCCGCCUUAGGAUGGGCCCGCGUCCCAUUAGGUAGUUGGUGGGGUAACGGCCUACCAAGCCCGAGAUGGGUAGCCGGCCUGAGAGGGUGAACGGCCACACUGGGACUGAGAUACGGCCCAGACUCCUACGGGAGGCAGCAGCUAAGAAUAUUCCGCAAUGGACGAAAGUCUG